AUUAUAGAAUACAAGUGUGAACAUUGCAGAGGCUAGGCCUUGCAGGUCAAACCCAUUCAAAAGAUUAGGUGGGCCAAUACGAACCGACUUAACAGCACACACCCUCAUAUCAAAUUCCUUAAUUCCAUCAAAUGUAAUCCAUACUACUAUAUAUACAAACAAUGACAGAGCCCCAUAAGUAUUUUUAGACAGAUACAACAGUUGCUCAAAGAAACAACAGUAUCUUAUACCCGGUGCUCCUCUAGUUCCAUAAUGCCGAAAUCCAAUCCACAAGAGAAUCAGCCCCCACAAGGGUACCCACCGGCUAAUCCCCCUACUGGGAAGAAUUGCUGUCCUCGUUCAAAGAGUAAAGGAGACAGGGGCUUCAUUGAGGGAUGCCUCUUCGCUCUAUGUUGCUGCUGGAUUUGUGAAGCUUGCUUCUGAAUGAUGAUUUCAAAUGGCGGAGCCUUGCUACAAAUAAAUAGUGUUGUUUAUCCUACUACUGAAUUCUCUUCAUGACAGGAUCAUAUAUUCUAAUAAAAUGUAACUAUUUGUGAGAUAUCAACAAAAGAACCUAGUAGAUGUUUAUUUUCUGCCUUAGAUCAGGUCCUUUCUCCUUACCAUUACUUUAAUCUUCUAGUUUGCUAAUAAUAUGUAACUGUUUCUGAGAUUAUUAGCCAAAGAAUCUAUAAAGCCAUCUUAGAUAA